rnacentral:rRNA from 2 species
UUUCCGUAGGUGAACCUGCGGAAGGAUCAUUAAUAAACCUAGUCGUUCGCGUACACAGGGGCAACCCUCGCGCGAUGUCAGCAAUACCUAGGUCACCCUUGAAUAAACUACCCUUGUUGCUUUGGCGGGCCGCCCCUCGGGGCCAGCGGCUUCGGCUGCUGCGCGCCCGCCAGAGGACCACAACUCUUGUUUUUAGUGAUGUCUGAGUACUAUAUAAUAGUUAAAACUUUCAACAACGGAUCUCUUGGUUCUGGCAUCGAUGAAGAACGCAGCGAAAUGCGAUAAGUAAUGUGAAUUGCAGAAUUCAGUGAAUCAUCGAAUCUUUGAACGCACAUUGCGCCCUUUGGUAUUCCGAAGGGCAUGCCUGUUCGAGCGUCAUUAUAACCACUCAAGCCUUCGCUUGGUAUUGGGGUUCGCGGCUGCGCGGCCCCUAAAAUCAGUGGCGGUGCCUGUCGGCUCUACGCGUAGUAAUACUCCUCGCGUCUGGGUUCCGGUAGGUUGCUUGCCAGCAACCCCUAAAUUUUUUACAGGUUGACCUCGGAUCAGGUAGGGAUACCCGCUGAACUUAA